AAUAGAUACCCUGGUAGUCCACCCCGUAAACGUUGGGAACUAGUUGUGGGGUCCUUUCCACGGAUUCCGUGACGCAGCUAACGCAUUAAGUUCCCCGCCUGGGGAGUACGGCCGCAAGGCUAAAACUCAAAGGAAUUGACGGGGACCCGCACAAGCGGCAGAGCAUGCGGAUUAAUUCGAUGCAACGCGAAGAACCUUACCAAGGCUUGACAUACACCAGAACACCCUAGAAAUAGGGGACUCUUUGGACACUGGUGAACAGGUGGUGCAUGGUUGUCGUCAGCUCGUGUCGUGAGAUGUUGGGUUAAGUCCCGCAACGAGCGCAACCCUCGUUCUAUGUUGCCAGCACGUAAUGGUGGGAACUCAUGGGAUACUGCCGGGGUCAACUCGGAGGAAGGUGGGGAUGACGUCAAAUCAUCAUGCCCCUUAUGUCUUGGGCUUCACGCAUGCUACAAUGGCCGGUACAAAGGGCUGCAAUACCGUGAGGUGGAGCGAAUCCCAAAAAGCCGGUCCAGUUCGGAUUGAGGUCUGCAACUCGA
rnacentral:rRNA from 1 species